rnacentral:lncRNA from 1 species
GCUUAAUUUGUUUUUGUUAGAAAAAAUCAAGAGAUAGGCUAACUGAAUAUAAUAAUUUGCUGAAAUAUGAGAGGAAGAAGUAAGAGAGACUAAUUGAUAAACUCAAGUUUUGAUUUGUGGUAGAUACUAAAAGUCUUCAAGUACAUGGGUAUUUAUAGGUACUAGUACUCCUUCUAUUAAUACUACUAAUACUAAUACUACUACUACUACUAAUACUACU